GAUGAACGCUGGCGGCGUGCCUAAUACAUGCAAGUCGAGCGAACAGACGAGGAGCUUGCUCCUCUGACGUUAGCGGCGGACGGGUGAGUAACACGUGGAUAACCUACCUAUAAGACUGGGAUAACUUCGGGAAACCGGAGCUAAUACCGGAUAAUAUAUUGAACCGCAUGGUUCAAUAGUGAAAGACGGUUUUGCUGUCACUUAUAGAUGGAUCCGCGCCGCAUUAGCUAGUUGGUAAGGUAACGGCUUACCAAGGCAACGAUGCGUAGCCGACCUGAGAGGGGGUGGGGCCACCAGGGACAUGAGCAAGGUCGCGGGAACCAAGGGGGGGAAGAGGGGGGGAUUUUACGGAAAGGGGGGAAAGCCUAAGGGGCAAACGCCGGGUGGGAGAAAAAGUGUUGGGAACGAUAAAACUCUUUUUUUAGGGAAAAAAAAAUGGGAAAGUAAAGAGGGCGGGUGGAACGGAACCAAUGAAGAAAGCCCGGCAAAACUACGG
rnacentral:rRNA from 1 species